rnacentral:rRNA from 1 species
GAUGAACGCUGGCGGCGUGCCUAAUACAUGCAAGUCGAGCGAACGGACGAGGAGCUUGCUUCUCUGAUGUUAGAGGCGGUCGGGAGAGUAACACGUGGUUAACCUAUCUAUAAGACUGGGGUAACUUCGGGAAACGGGCUCUCAUACACGAUGAUAUUUUGACCCGCAUGGUUCACAAGUGUAAUAGUCUCGUGCUGUCACUUAUACAUCGCUCCGCGCUGCAUUAGUUAGUUGGUCAGGUAACGGCUUACGCAGGCAUUGAUGCAAAGCCGACCUGCGCGGGUGAUCGCCUACACUGGAACGGAGACACGGUCCAGACUCCGGCGAUAGGCAGCAGUAGGGAAUCUUCCGCAAUGGGCGAAAGCCUAACGGAGCAACGCCGCGUGAGUGAUGAAGGUCUUCGGAUCGUAAAACUCUGAUAGUAGGGAAGAACAUAAGUGUAAGUAACUGUGCACAUCUUGACGGUACCUAAUCAAAAAGCCACGGCUAACUACGUG